UGAGUUCCUGUAGUUGAAUACACC
rnacentral:tRNA from 1 species